AAACCUCCAAAAUUAUUUAUCUGACCAGAUACAUCAGAAAUUCCACCAUCUCAGAUGCAGUGUCCAGAGAUUCAAAAGCUUCAGAGGUCUUCAAGAGAUUCUUGUUAAAAGGAAAACACUGCUGAGAGAAAAUAUCACAAGCUAAUUAUCCUCAAACCCAAGCACUGGAAACACUUGAGACUGGCACUUGAGAACAGCUACAUAAUUUGUCAUUCAUCCCUAGAUGAGACCUGGUCAAUGGAGAUUUUACAUCUGGGAUGCAUCAUGAUGGCACCUGCAGAGGGCUUCUACUGAAUUGCACUGUGGGCUGAUGUCCCUGGCUACAUGAAGAAUAUCACAGAAAAUGGCCUUUGAAGCUUGUCAUUUCAUUUAGUCCAAAGAUGUUGCU
rnacentral:lncRNA from 1 species